rnacentral:rRNA from 1 species
UACGUAGGGUGCAAGCGUUGUCCGGAAUUAUUGGGCGUAAAGAGCUCGUAGGCGGUUUGUUGCGUCGGCUGUGAAAUCCCGAGGCUCAACCUCGGGUCUGCAGUCGAUACGAGCAAACUAGAGUGUUGCAGGGGAGACUGGAAUUCCUGGUGUAGCGGUGAAAUGCGCAGAUAUCAGGAGGAACACCGGUGGCGAAGGCGGGUCUCUGGGCAACAACUGACGCUGAGGGACGAAAGCUAGGGGAGCGAAAGGG